rnacentral:rRNA from 1 species
UACAGAGGUCUCAAGCGUUGUUCGGAAUCACUGGGCGUAAAGGGCUCGUAGGCGGCCAACUAAGUCAGACGUGAAAUCCCUCAGCUUAACUGGGGAACUGCGUCUGAUACUGGAUGGCUUGGAUUCGGGAGAGGAAUGCGGAAUUCCAGGUGUAGCGGUGAAAUGCGUAGAUAUCUGGAGGAACACCGGUGGCGAAGGCGGCAUUCUGGACCGAUAUUGACGCUGAGGAGCGAAAGCCAGGGGAGCAAACGGG